rfam:Stegodyphus mimosarum contig29490, whole genome shotgun sequence.
GCCUUCGUGGUGUAACGGUUAGCACACUCGGCGUAUAUUCGAGAGAUCCAGGUUCGAGUCCCGGCGAGGGCA